rnacentral:misc_RNA from 1 species
GAUGAAGAACGCAGCGAAAUGCGAUAAGUAGUGUGAAUUGCAGAAUUCAGUGAAUCAUCGAAUCUUUGAACGCACAUUGCGCCCCUUGGUAUUCCAUGGGGCAUGCCUGUUCGAGCGUCAUUUGUACCUUCAAGCUUUGCUUGGUGUUGGGUGUUUGUCUCGCCUUUGCGUGUAGACUCGCCUUAAAAUAAUUGGCAGCCGGCGUAUUGAUUUCGGAGCGCAGUACAUCUCGCGCUUUGCACUCAUAACGACAGCGUCCAAAAGUACAUUUUACACUCUUGACCUCGGAUCAGGUAGGGAUACCCGCUGAACUUAAGCAUAUCGAUAAGCGGAGGA